rnacentral:rRNA from 1 species
GGUAGGGUCGUGUCAGCAGCCGUGGGAAGACGAUCGACCCUAUCGUGGGUCGGAAGAACUGGGCAUAAAGGGCGCGUAGUCGGCGAUUCAAGUCGGGGGUGAAAUCCGGCAGCUCAACUGUCGAAGUGCCUUUGAUACUGAAUUGGUCGAGGGAGGUAGGGGUCUGUGGAACUUCUGGUGGAGCGGUGAAAUGCGUUGAUAUCAGAAGGAACGCCGGUGGCGAAAGCGACGGACUGGACCUUUUCUGACGCUGAGGCGCGAAAGCUAGGGGAGCAAACGGGAUUAGAUACCCGUGUAGUC